rnacentral:lncRNA from 1 species
CCCCGGCUCCGGGAGGCGGGCGCGGCCGCUUCGGCCUCCCCCGCGGCGGCCGGCAGGCAGCGGCGGUGGACGAAGGUGCGCGUCACGGAACCGAUGGAGCCACACAGAGACGUCUAAGUCAUGCAGGAGGCGCCCGGCCCCGGCCCGCUCCCGCCGCCCCGACCCCUCCUCUCAUCCGACAGAAAGACAGACAAGAAGGGUUCCCGACCUGUCGUGCCCUGCAUGUUCAGAGUCUGUCAUGUUUGGUCAAGAACGGGGCGGGGCUGGAGGGCAGGUCUGGAGGCCGGCGGCGGCGGUGGCGGCGGCAGCGGGGCGCGGGGAGGACCCCUGCGCCGCCUGCGGGCAACCCUGUCCCCGGCCGCCGCCGACAGGUGACGAAGUGGUAAAAACUCACGGUUACUAGUGAGCGACACAGACACAGACUUUCCAGUCUAUUAACAACCAACGCCAGAGAGAUGGGGCUCUAACUGCAAAGACUGGGCAACGGCCCCGCGCUGCCGGCGCUGCCGCUCUAGUCUGUAUUCGCCGCCGGAGGCUGAGGCGUGGGAGCCGGCGGGCGGCGUGCAGCGACGCGGGGAUUUGGACAGUGGCCGUAACGGUGAUUUCUCCUCACCAACAUGGCGGCACCCGAAACAGGCGGCUCAGAAAAUGGCGCCGGCCGCAACACCUUGCCCGGGACUAAAGGGCAAGUGGAAUUCCUCCGCGAGCCGCGGCCCUCUCCCAGCCCGCCGGUGCCGAGCGCACUAGCCAUUGGAGGAAACUGCCCGUCAAUCACUUCCAGGGGCGGGCCUUUAAUACGCUCGCUGCGGCAGCGGAGGCAGCAAUCUGAUGGGUGUGAGGCCAGGGAUGCGGUUCGGUGGCGCGUGGAGUUAUAUCGGGCGGGGCAGGUCACCCCGCCAGGCCUGCUGUGUCCACCAGGUCCUCUGUGCCCAUUUCUCGAUGUUCCUGCGAGACUCGUCGUCUAAGGCUUUGGAGUUCCGGACUCAUCACACUGUCCCCCUCCACCCCGCCACCGUUAACUGCGCGACAAAGAAAGGAACCCAGGACUGGCGGUUUUCUUUGUUAAAAAGAAAGAAAGAAAGAAAAGCUUUCUUUGUUGCCGAAAGAACUCGGAAUCAUCCUUAAGCCCUUAAACUUGUAGCUGUUAUGUCUCCGUAGUGUAAGGAAGACUGCCUGCCAUGCAACUUUUUCUGAUACUAAAUUCACCCAGUCCUUACUUGACGAUUAAAAAUAGCUAUUGAGGUAAUUAAAACAUGAUCUUGUGUCUGUUAGCGGUUUAGAUGUGGAAUUCAUUCGAGUAUUUCAUAAGAACAAGACUUCAUUUCUUCGUAUGUCCAUGGCCUUCAGACGUAUUUCCAUAUCCUUCAGAAAUAGUCUUGAAAUGAUGAGUAAUGUAUACUUAGUUCUGAAGGAAAGUUAAUUUUUUUUAUUAAAAUGAUAAGCUUAAAUGUCCAAUAUUUCUAAAUACACGACGUCUUUUGUCUUUGAUGUGUAAAUAACGUGCAUUCAAAGAGCAAUUGCGAUUAGAUAAAUGUGAAAAGAGAAAAAAAGUUAUUUAGUUGAAUGCAGCUAUUGACAAGACUUGAACCCUGACAGAUCUUCACGGCCCAUUAUAGGAAACUUUCAAAAGGCACAUCUGUUUUAACUAGAGAAGCAAUAUUAUUAGUUUUUGGAACUAAAAUGUAAAGCCUCUUCAUUUAAUCGUUUUACUAGGAACAGUGAAAGGCUUUUGAGGUGUAACAGCUGCUCUUCACAACUGCAUUUUCUGCUUAGACAUUAAAAUAAUGAUUUAGGAUUUGAAUUUGAUUUUUUUUUUUAAUAAAAAGAAAAUCUUUGAACUGGUACACAUUUGAGUAUUGCUGUUUUCAAAUUCGUUUGGAAGUUUAAACGCACACCAAAAUAAAUUCUGGGCAUUAGCUUACUCAGAAAAACAACUUUUGAAAUGUUGCCUCCAGACAAAAUUAACAUACUGACACACUUGGAAGGUCCAAUUGUUGGCUAUCUAGGCCAACUCAAGCCACAAGGAAAGGAUUCCCUGUGGUGUACUCUAUUUGUAAACUUUAUAUACUUUAUAAACCCUCAAGGCAGGAAAGCCACAGCUCUCAGCUGGCUGAACACAAAGCAGUCAGGCCCCGCACCCAGACUUCCCUAACAGCCCUAAAGGUCAUCUUCUAAGGGCUACUGCAGUCAUUCAUUCGCAACCUGAGCUAUGAAAGUGGCCAAGAAAGUGCCCUACAAGAAAAAAAAAAAAAAUCCCGCCACCCCCUGAAAAGGAAGUCUCAUUAGUCCCUGGCUUGUCACAGAAACCAGUUCCUGAGCAUGAAAACCAACAAAUCCCUGAGCAGAAAAAUUCACCAAUCCCUGAAAAUACCAAACUCUGGACUUGAAAUCCCAACAGUCCUCAGCCUGGAAAACUGGACAGCUCCGCCCCCUAAGAAAUCCUAUGGAAGGCCUGCCUUCAGCUCAGUCAGGGGCUGUUUUCUCACCUGAGCAGAGGCAGCAGUCCUGCGGUUUUCUCUCCCAAUAAAUCCCUUGUGUGA